rnacentral:misc_RNA from 1 species
UUCUUGACAUGCUUUGCAUGGCAGGCUCCCUGCACUUACGUGCGGCCAACUGUCAUGGGGCUGUCUAUUCACUAUCCCUUUGAUAUGCAUUAUUGCUGUCUUGGGAUGCAUGCUGGUUGUUGCCUGUGUGGUUCUACCAUUGUUGGUAGCAGGAUGUCCCGUUUCCGAAUGUUUAGCUUGCUCAGUUGAUGCCGUUCAUCAACGUGCAGCCGAGGUGUCAGCAAAUUCCAUGUGUUUCCGUGCCCUUGUGCCUUGGAUCUUGCACUGUGGAUGUUAGUGGUUCUCACGGAUAUGGUGCGUAUUGGGAGGUUUACWGGUUUGUAGUUUGUAGACCUUGCGAGGUUGCCCGUGCACAAAUCAUAGCCGUUAAUGGGGAGGCCUCUUAUACAGGGCUNGGAGAUUAGGGCGUGCUCUUCCGVAUGACYUGCGANUGCCGGCWACUUCUGUCAUAAGG